UCAGCUGCUGUCCAUUUAGGACUUCAUUAGCCAGUGGCAGACACACUAGGUAGCCAGCAUUAUGGAGUCCUUUGUGUAUCUUUCCUUGAGUCUCUUGUUCUGGAUCCAAGGCACCAGUGGGCAGAUUGUGUUGACUCAGUCUCCCAAAUCACUCUUCUUAUCUGUUGGAGAUCCAGCUACAAUCAAAUGCCAGUCAGACACUGACAUAGAUGAUGAUAUGAACUGGUACCAGCAGAAACCAGAACAACCUCCUAGGCUCCUUUUCUCUGAGGGAAAUACCCGCCAGAAAGAUGUCCCAGCUCGGUUUAGCAGCAGUGGCUAUGGAGAAGAUUUCACCUUGACCAUUAGCAGUGUUGAAGCUGAGGAUGAAGGAUAUUACCACUGUCAGCAAAACGACCGAGUUCCUCUGCACAGUGAUACAAAGCAGUACAUAAACCCUUGUGAGAAUGAGGAUGUGUCUUUCAGUUGAACAGCUGUUCAGCAG